UGUUGCCAUGAGGUUUAGAAUAUCCCUUGAAUCAGUGGGGGUCGGCUGUUGCAGCUGUGUCCUCUCCCAACUUUUUGUGCCUCUCCAGCUUUCUUGAUGGUGUGGCAAGGUGAGGCCUUGGUUCUCUGCAAGUACUGCUCUGCAACAGCCAAAACAUCCCUGAAUUAUCAAGACUGUCUUCAUCACAAACACAAAACAGACCUCCAUACCAGCUAUUGUGAAGAAAAUCAGAUUUACCCCAGCCAACAAACACCAGAACAUUCUCCACCCCUACAGGUGGUGGGUUGACCAUGUCUGGAUACCAGGUGACCACCAAGCCACUCUUCAUACUCUUUCCCUGCUCCAGUGUGGGGUCCCACAGCGUGCAGUCAUUUGGGAAGAGGCUGCUCCAGCAUGGGACCCUUACAGAGUCACCAGUCCUGCCAGCAAAUCUGCUCCAACAUGGAUUCUUCUCUCCAAGAGACCAGCUUUCUAGAUGUUCAAAUUUCUGGUCUAUUUCUAGACCAAAUAGAUUCUCUGUGCCCUCUUGACAGUCCUGCAUAAAAUUGCACUUCAGUAGAUGGAUUAUGUUAUAGUUGUCAUCAGCUAUUCCUGCCUGUCUCACCUGUCCCCCUGAAAUAGGACAGAUCUCUGAGAAAAUUUCGAGUUACUGUGGAAAUCUGGCAGCAGUCUUUGAUAGAGUUUUGUAAGGCUGUUCAUUUCAUGCCUGGAUAAUCAUAGUCCAGAUCUCUGUCAGGUGAAGGAACCGUCCAAGUGCCUCAAGGUGUUUUAAAUGUUGUAUCAGCCUGUCCAUCAAUGACAAAUCCAAGAGUUUUCAUGAACGGAGAAACUGAUUUGACAGAACACCGCUCUGGAAUCCUUGGUCAAAGGAGGCUUCUCUGCAGAUGCAAAUUCGUCUAGGAGACACCUUCUACUCAUUGGUAUCAUCUUUGUUUUGUCAAGGUCAAUGUUCCCUGACUGUUUCAUCUUCAUGGAGUACCCUUAGUGCUCAUUCCUGCAUGGUAUGUCUCUUGGGACCUGACCUUUCUCAGGACAUGAAAGAAGAGAGAAGAAAAUGUCCAGCCUCUGAAACUCUGGAGCAAGUUUUUUGGCAACCUCUUGGCAGUGCUGCUCUCCAACAACUCUGCAGGACAUUCUGUUAGCAGGUGUGUGUCACUGUGUCUCUGACAGGAAGCAAAAAAAGAUCCCAAUGACUUCAGAGGCAGCUGGCAUACUCCAAUUCACAUCAAAGCUGAAUGCACCUUCUCUGGACAACAGACACCUUUGCCAUGUAUAUCCACUGUUUCCUGAGUCAAGUAGUGUAGCGAAGCAUUUUGUGUGACCCUUUUCUGUCCAGAUUGCUUGCUUGCUAGCCCCCUCAUGGAGGAUGCUCAGAGAGAACCAUCAGGACCAAAAGGAAAACAAGAUAACAUGGGAUAUCCAGAUGCAAGGAUUUGUUGGGAAGAGGGUACAGUAUUACUCUAGGCAAUCUGAAUGUGUGAAUGCAGUAUUCCUUAGGGUUCUCUCUUGCAAUAAUUGAAGAUUUUGAGAGUUUUGCAGAG